CGCUGAGCCCGGGGCUGAACCACUGC
rnacentral:piRNA from 1 species